rnacentral:rRNA from 1 species
AUUGAACGCUGGCGGCAUGCCUUACACAUGCAAGUCGAACGGCAGCGCGGGGCAACCUGGCGGCGAGUGGCGAACGGGUGAGUAAUAUAUCGGAACGUACCCUGGAGUGGGGGAUAACGUAGCGAAAGUUACGCUAAUACCGCAUACGAUCUAAGGAUGAAAGUGGGGGAGUCGCAAGACCUCAUGCUCCUGGAGCGGCCGAUAUCUGAUUAGCUAGUUGGUUAGGGGAAAAGACCUACCAAGGCAUCGAUCAGUAGCUGGUCUGAGA